rnacentral:rRNA from 1 species
CCGUACUCUGGCCAGGCAGCCGAGAGAGUAAUGGGGGUGCCAGCGUUAAUCGGGAUUCAUGGGCGGAAAGAGAGUGUAGGUGGUUCACUAAGUCAAAUGUUAAAUCCCCGGUCUUAACCGGGGAACUGCAUGUGAUACUGGUGGUGCUAGAAUAUGUGAGAGGGAAGUAGAAUUCCAGGGGGAGCGGUGAAAUGCGUAGAGAUCUGGAGGAAUACCGAUGUCGAAGGCAGCUUCCUGGCAUAAUAGUGACACUGAGAUUCGAAAGCGUGGGUAGCAAACAGGAUUAGAUACCCUAGUAGUC